UCGAGAAUCUUUCACAAUGGGGGCAACCCUGAUGGAGCGACGCCGCGUGGAGGAUAAGGUCUUCGGAUUGUAAACUCCUGUCAUGCGAGAACAAGGUUGUAGAGUUAAUAGCUUUGCAAAUUGAUGGUACCGCAAGAGGAAGAGACGGCUAACUCUGUGCCAGCAGCCGCGGUAAUACAGAGGUCUCAAGCGUUGUUCGGAAUCACUGGGCGUAAAGGGUGCGUAGGUGGCGUGGUAAGUCAGAUGUGAAAGCCCGGGGCUCAACCUCGGAAUUGCAUCCGAUACUGCCGUGCUAGAGUACUGAAGAGGUGACUAGAAUUCUCGGUGUAGCAGUGAAAUGCGUAGAUAUCGAGAGGAAUACCAACGGCGAAGGCAGGUCACUGGGCAGUUACUGACACUGAGGCACGAAGGCCAGGGGAGCAAACGGGAUUAGAUACCCCAGUAGUCCCUGAGCGGGCUGGCAAGGCGCAU
rnacentral:rRNA from 1 species